rnacentral:rRNA from 1 species
GUCGAACGAGAUUAUCCAGCUUGCUGGAUAUGAAAGUGGCGCACGGGUGCGUAACUCGUGAGCAACCUACCUCUGUCAGGGGGAUAGCCCGGCGAAAGUCGGAUUAACACCGCAUGACAUUAUUGAUGUGGCAUCACAUUAUAAUCAAAUAUUUAUAGGACAGAGAUGGGCUCGCGUGACAUUAGCUAGUUGGAGAGGUAACGGCUCACCAAGGCAACGAUGUCUAGGGGCUCUGAGAGGAGAAUCCCCCACACUGGUACUGAGACACGGACCAUACUCCUACGGGAGGCAGCAGUAAGGAAUAUUGGUCAAUGGAGGGAACUCUGAACCAGCCAUGCCGCGUGCAGGAUGACUGCCCUAUGGGUUGUAAACUGCUUUUGUCGGGGAAUAAACCUACGUUUGUAAACGUAGCUGAAUGUACCCGAAGAAUAAGGAUCGGCUAACUCCGUGCCAGCAGCCGCGGUAAUACGGAGGAUCCAAGCGUUAUCCGGAUUUAUUGGGUUUAAAGGGUGCGUAGGCGGUUCUUUAAGUCAGAGGUGAAAGACGGCAGCUUAACUGUCGCAGUGCCUUUGAUACUGAAGAACUUGAAUUAGGUUGAGGAAUGCGGAAUGAGACAAGUAUCGGUGAAAUGCAUAUAUAUGUCUCAGAACCCCGAGUGCGAAGGCAGCAUUCCAAGCCUUUAUUGACGCUGAUGCACGAAAGCGUGGGGAUCGAACAGGAUUAGAUACCCUGGUAGUCCACGCCCUAAACGAUGAUAACUCGAUGUUGGCGAUAGACAGUCAGCGUCCCAGCGAAAGCGUUAAUUUAUCCACCUGGGGGAGUACGCCCGC